rnacentral:lncRNA from 1 species
CUCGGAGGUGCAGUCGAUGUACCAGCCCCGGUCAGGUUGUUCUAGGGAGUGGCAGAAUAAUUUAAAACAUGAUCCUGGUCCUGAAAGAGUUUGCCACUUGAGAAAUUUCCUCUUAGGGGGAAAGAUAUUAACAGAAUUACUAGUUGCUGUCAGUUCUAGGAGGUGCUCCUUGACUGAAUAGAGAGUAAGGGUGGGGAAGUCUGCAUUGCAGAUUGGUUGUGAGAAGCUACUUACCACUGUGUAUGUAGUCUUGCUCAGAUCCCCAGACUUCUUUAACUCCCAAGUUACCAGUGGGAAAACAGCAAAUUCCCUUAUCCCAAUAUUCAAGGAGCAGAUAACCAUUGAAAAAAAUUGUACAUACCCCAACAGCUCUCAGAAAUCCAACUGCUAAUUUCAGUUGGAUGUACAGCUGGCUUUUGGCUACCAAGACAAGACCAUAUGUUGAUCAACACCAGAAAUAAAACCCAAAUGUGUUUCUCAUAGUUUUCUAAUAACACAUUGAGGAAUAGAAUUGGAAGUAAGUUUUAAUUAGAGUCUGUAAAUACUUGAGAUGUUAAGAAAUGACAUCUACCUCUGCUCAGUAAAUCUAAGGCAAAAUCCCUCAGUAUUAAAUAAAAGCAUGUAGCUGGAUGCCCUAUACUUAGCCAUGGGGUGCUUAGAGGUCUUGUAUAUUUCAAUCUGGUCCCCAUUAACAAAUGAUAAUAAUAACAAAGUUGCCAUUAAAUAGUCAUCAGUUAUCCAACCAUACCAUUUAUCAAGGAUUGUGCUAAACACAUUAUUUUUAAAAUUUUUAAAUCUUUUUAAGUUUUAUUGAAGUAUAGUUAAUUUACAAGGCCGUGAUAAUUUCUGCUAUACAAGCAAGCGACCCAGUCAUACAUAUACACAUAUCCAUUCUCCCUCAGAUUCUUUUCCCACGUAGAUUAUCACAGAAUAUUGGGUAGAGUUCUUGUACUAUGUAGCAGGUUCCCGUUGGCCAAUCCUUCUGUAUACCUCAGUGUGCAUAUGCCAAUCCCAAACCCUGAGUCUAUCCCUUCCACUCUCCCCCCACCUUUGAUAACCAUAAAUUUUUCAAAGUCUGUGUCUGUUUCUGUUCUUGAAAAUAAGUUCAUUUGUAUCCUUUUUUUUUUUUUAAGAUUCCACGUAUAGGUGAUAUCAUAUGAUGUUUGCAUUUCACUGUCUGACUAACCUCAUUUGGUGUGAUAGUUGCUAGGUCCAUCCAUGUUGCUGCUAAUGCCAUUAUUUCAUUCUUUUUUAUGGCUAAUAUUCCAUUGUAUAUAUGUACUACAUCUUCUUUAUUCAUUCCUCUGUUGUUGGACAUUUAGUUUAUUUCCAUGUCUUGGCUAUUGUAAAUAGUACUGCAGUUAAAACUGAGGUGCAUGUAUCUUUUCAAGUUACAGUUUUCUCUGGAUAGAUGUCCACGAGUGGGAUUGCUGGAUCAUGUGGUAGUUCUGUUUUUAGUUUUUUGAGGACCCUCCAUACUGUUUUCCAUAGUGGUUGCACCGGUGUACUUUCCCACCAACAGUUGUAAAAGGGACCCCUUUUCUCCACAUCCUCUCCAGUAUUUAUUAUUUGUCAAUUUUUUUAUAAUGGCCAUUCUGGCUGGUGUAAGGCGGUACCUCAUAGUAGUUUUGAUUUGCAUUUCUCUAAUAAUUAGUGAUGUCGAGCAGCUUUUCAUGUGUUUUUGGCCAUCUGUAUGUCUUUGGAGAAAUAUCUGUUUGGAUCUUCUGCUCAUUUUUUUAUUUGAGUUGUUUGUUUUUUUGAUAUUGAACUGCAGGAGGUGUUUGUGUACUUUGGAGAUUAAGCCCUUCCAAUUGCUUGAUUUGUAAAUAUUUUCUCCCAUUUUGUGGGUUGUCUUUUUGUUUUGUUUAUGGCCUCCUUUGCUGUGCAAAACUUUUACGUUUAAUUAUGUCCCAUUUGUUUAUUUUUGUUUUUAUUGUCAUUACUCUAGGAGGUGGAUCUGAGAAGAUAUUGCUGCAGUUUAUGUCAGAGAGUGUUCGGCCUGUGUUGUUCUAAACACUUUAGACAUGGGACCUAUUUUAACACUUCCAACAAUUAUAUAAAAUACACACUGGUUUCUCUAGAGGGGAUAAAACAAAUUGUCACUUACUUAAGAGAAAAUAGUGGCAAGCAUAGAAAUCAGCUACCUGGCCCCAACAUAUGUGCUUUGUGCUUUGUAUCCAUCCAUCCAGUCCUGCUGCCCCAGAGAGAAUGAUGCUGUAUAAAGCCAGAUUUAAAAGCUCAUACACAUCUCCACACCUUUAUUUUUAAACAGUUUUAUUGAGAUAUAAACCACAUACAAAUUCACCCAUUUAAAGUAUACAUUUAGUGAUUUAGCAUAUUCACAGUUAUGCAAGCAUCAUCACAAUCAAUUUUAGAACAUUUAUGCCAUAUCCAAAAGAAUUAUAUCCAGGAGUUCCCAUCAUGGCUCAGUGGUUAAUGAAUCUGACUAGGAACCAUGAGGUUGCGGAUUUGAUCCCUGGCCUUGCUCAGUGGGUUAAGGAUCUGGCGUUGCCAUAAACUGUGGUGUAGGUUGCAGAUGUGGCCCAGAUCCCGAGUUGCUAUGGCUCUGGCUUAGGCCGUUGGCUACAAUUCCAAUUCGACCCCUAGCCUGGGAACCUCCAUAUGCCACAGGAGUGGCCCAAGAAAAAGUGCAAAAAGACAAAAAAAAAAAAAAAAAAAAUCAUAUCCAUUAUCCAUUAGCAGUCACUCCCAAUCCUCCCUAAACCCUGGUUACUGUACACCACUAAUCUACUUUCUGUCUAUAGAUAUGCCUUUUCAGAAAAAUCUAUGUAAGUGAAUCAUAAAUUAUGUGGUCUUUUGUGACUGGUUUCUUUCACUUAGUUAAUGUUUUUAAGUUUAAUUUAUUUUGUAGCAUCUAUCGGCACUUCAUUCCUGUGUAUCACUAAAUGGUAUUCCAUUGUAUUUUAUUUAUCCAUUCAAUUGUUAGUAGAUAUUGGAGUUGUUUCCAUAUUUUGACUAUUAUGAAUGGUGCUGUAAUUAACACUCAUGUGUAUGUUCUUGUGGGGAUAUAUGCUUUUAUUUCUCUUGUUUGUGAACCUAGGAGUAGUAUAGAUGGCUCAUAUAGUAACUUUAUGUUUAAAUAUUUGAGGACCUGCCAAAAUGUUUUUCAAAGACACAUUAUCACUUUACAUUCCCAACACAAGAAAGUUCCAAUUUCUCUUUCUUGCCAACACUCGUUAUUGACUGUCUUUGAUUAUAACUAUUCAAGGUAUAAUGUGGUAUCUCAUUGUGGAUUUGAUAUAUGUUUUCCUAGUGAUCAGUUGUGUUGAGCAGUUUUUCAUGUGCUUAUUGGCCAUUUGUACAUCUUCAUUAGAGAAAUCACUCUUCAGAUCCUCUGCCCAUUUGAUGGAUUUAUGUCUUCUGUUAUUGAUUUGUAAAAGCCUGUUUCAUAUUCUGGAUACAAGUCCCUUAUCCAGUAUAUGACUGAAAGCAUUUUGUCUCAUUCUGGGUUUGUAUUUUCAUAUUUUUGGUCAUGUUUAUUGAAGCACAGAGGUUUUUAAUGCUGAUGAUGUCCAUUACAUCUGUUUUACCUUUUGUUACUUUUGUUGUGCUUUUUGUUGUCUUUUCUAAGAUGCCACUGCCUAACCCAAGGUUAUGAAGAUUUAUUCUUAAGUUUUCUUCUAAAAAUUUUAUGGUGUUAGCUCUUAUAUUUAAGUUUCUGACCAUUUUAAGUUAAUUUUUAUAUGGUGUUAAGUAGGGAUUCUAGUUUUAUUCUUUUGCAUUGGAUAUCCAGUUGUCCAAACACCACGUUUGAAAAAACUUUUUUUAUUUCUUUCAUUGAAUCAUAUUGACACUUUUGUUGAAAAUCAGUUGACCACAAGUAUAAUGGUCUAUUUCUGGACUCUAGGUUCUGUUACAUUGGUGUAUAUAUCUAUCCUCACAACUGUGCCAUAGUGACUUGAAAUCUGUGACUUAGUAGUAAACUUUAAAAUCAUGAAGUGUGAGUCUUCAAACUUGGUUUUUAUUUUUCAACAUCAUUUUGGCUUUUCUGGAUCACUUGUAUUUCCCUAUAAAUUUUAGAAUCAUCUUGUUAAUUUAUGCAAAAAAAACCAGCUGGUAUUUUCAUACAGAUUAUUGAAUCCAUAGAUAUUUUGGAGAGUAUUGUAACAUUAUCAAUGUUAAAUCUUCUAAUCCAGGAAAUGGGAUAGUUUACAUUAUUUAGGGCUUCUUCUAUUUCUUUCAAUAAUGUUUUGUUUUCAACAUUCAGGACCUGCAUUUCUUUUGUCAGCUUUAAAAACAAUUUUUUUUCUGUCUUUUGUCUUUUUUUGAGGGCCACACUCACGGCAUAUGGAGGUUCCCAGGCUAGGGGUCUAAUUGGCGCUGUAGCCACUGGCCUAUGCCACAGCCAUAGCAACACCAGAUCGAAGCCGCAUCUGUGACCUACACCACAGCUCAUGGCAAUGCCAGAUCCUUAACCCACUGAGUGAGGCCAGGGAUUGAACCCACAACCCCAUGGUUCCUAGUCAGAUUCAUUUCUGCUGUGCCAUGACAGGAAUGCCAUAAAAAAUUUUUUUAUUGUAGUUGAUUUACAAUAUUCUGUCAAUUCCUUCUGUCCAGUAAAGUGACCCAGUUAUAAAUGCAUAUACAUUAUUCUUCUCACAUUAUCCUCCAUCAUGUUCCAUCACAAAUGAUCUGAUACAGUUCUCUGUGUGGUAAAGCAGGAUUUCAUUGUUUAUCCACUCCAAAUGCUAUAGUUUGCAUGUACUAACCCCAACUCCCAGUCCAUCCCACUCCCCAUCCCCUUGACAACCCCUAGUCUGUUCAUCAUGUCCAUGAGUUUGUUUCUUUUCUGUAGAUAGGUUCAUGGCAUUAUUUUGUUCUUUUUUAUGGCUGUGUAGUAUUCCAUUGUGUAUAUAUACCACAUCUUCUUAAUCCAUUCAUUUGUCAAUGGACAUUUAGGUUCUUCAGCAAGUGGUACUGGGAAAAAUGGACAGCAGCUUGUAAAUCAAUGAGGCUGCAACAUACCCUCACACCAUGCACAAAAAUAAAUUCAAAAUGGCUUAAAGACUUAAACAUAAGUUAUCAUAAAACUCCUAGAAGAGAAUAUAGGCAAAACAUUCUCUGACAUCAACCACACAAAUUUUUCUUAGGUCAGUCUCCCAAUACCAACAGGACCUAAUCAAACUUACAAGCUUUUGCACAGCAAAGGAAACCAUAAAAAAAAAA